CCUACGGGUGGCUGCAGUGGGGAAUAUUGGGCAAUGGGCGAAAGCCUGAUCCAGCCAUGCCGCGUGUGUGAAGAAGGCCUUCGGGUUGUAAAGCACUUUCAGUGGGGAAGAAAGCCUUGGGGCUAAUACCCUCGAGGAAGUACAUCACCCACAGAAGAAGCACCGGCUAACUCCGUGCCAGCAGCCGCGGUAAUACGGAGGGUGCGAGCGUUAAUCGGAAUUACUGGGCGUAAAGCGCGCGUAGGCGGUCUGAUAAGCCGGUUGUGAAAGCCCCGGGCUCAACCUGGGAACGGCAUCCGGAACUGUCAGGCUAGAGUGCAGGAGAGGAAGGUAGAAUUCCCGGUGUAGCGGUGAAAUGCGUAGAGAUCGGGAGGAAUACCAGUGGCGAAGGCGGCCUUCUGGACUGACACUGACGCUGAGGUGCGAAAGCGUGGGUAGCAAACAGGAUUAGAUACCCUGGUAGUC
rnacentral:rRNA from 1 species